CCAGACUCCUACGGGAGGCAGCAGUGGGGGAUAUUGCACAAUGGGGGAAACCCUGAUGCAGCGACGCCGCGUGGGUGAAGAAGCGCCUCGGCGCGUAAAGCCCUGUCAGCAGGGAAGAAAAUGACGGUACCUGAAGAAGAAGCCCCGGCUAACUACGUGCCAGCAGCCGCGGUAAUACGUAGGGGGCAAGCGUUAUCCGGAUUUACUGGGUGUAAAGGGGGCGCAGACGGCGAUGCAAGCCAGGAGUGAAAGGCCGGGGCCCAACCCCGGGACUGCUCUUGGAACUGCGGGGCUGGAGUGCAGGAGGGGCAGGCGGAAUUCCUGGUGUAGCGGUGAAAUGCGUAGAUAUCAGGAGGAACACCGGUGGCGAAGGCGGCGUACUGGACUGUAACUGCCGUUGAGGCUCGAAAGCGUGGGGAGCAAACAGGAUUAGAUACCCUCGUAGCA
rnacentral:rRNA from 1 species